AUUUCGCAUUCCUGUUGCAUCCGUGUUGCUUGGUUUUGUGUUUCUUUUCUCUCCCGUGAGAAAAAAACAUGGAAGACAAUGCCUUGGUGUUAUUGUUCUAUGAUGGCCGUCACAACAUGGAAGCUUCUCAUGUCUCCUUUGCUGCUCAUACUCUUGCUUAUCUCACCAUUGGCUUCCUCCCACCGUAGCUGCAUACACGCAUAAACGGACCCUUUAGAAGGUUGAAGAACACACUAAAGCUUUGAUUUUUAUCUCAAAAAGCGGCGAUUUUUAUCACAACAGAAGGUCGAAGAACACACUAAAGCUUCGAUUUUUAUCUCAAAAAUAGUGGCAAUUUUUAUGACAACAGAGAAGGUCCAAGAACACACUAAAGCUGCGAGUUUUAACUCAAAAAGCGGAAAUUUUUAUGACUACAGGUGCGCUUUCGAUGUUGCUCUUUCAAAGCUUAAACUACAGGUGCAUUUUCGAUGUUGGUCUUUCAAAGCUUAAAUAUUGAGCUUAAAUUUUUGGGUGUUCCUGAACCUUCUCCUACCUUGAUGCACUUCGUUUUCCCUCCCCGUGUUCUUGGAAACCAAAAUAUUUCGAUUUGUUGCGGUUUUUUUGAAUUGUUGCUUAUCUUUUCUUACGUGUUCUUUGUUUGGCAGAGAAGGCCCAACAACACACUAAAGCGGCGAUUUAAUUUAACUCAAAAAAUGUCGAUUUUCAGUACCAUUUUUGGGCGUCAUUCUUUUCCUUACUUUAGUGUGUUUACCAUAUGAUGGAGCAGAUGAUGGCAAAAUUUGUUUUCUCUUCAUUUCUUUGGUUACUUUAAAUGCCAACUUUAUUUUUGUGGUUCCCUACCAUAUUGUCGGUGUUUUCUUUCUUUGUUGUUGUUGUUUUACUUUUGUUUAAUUUAGGUCUUUAUUUUUUGGUAUAUCCUAAUUGAACUUGGCUUUUGUAGAAGACAACUAAUAGUGCCCGACAUUUGGAGUACAGGUUUGUCAUGUAUACAAUUUCUCCUUUGCAUGUUGAUUGUUAUGUCCCCUUAUCCCCUUAAUGGGCAUGGUCCUAGGUUUUCAAGAAGCAAUUUGUCUAUGCCUAAUCUCGAGACUUUAGGCUUCAUUCUACAAGAUGCACUUUUUCAUACAAAUGAUAUAGGGACUACAGUGGAAGCUUAUAAUCGUCUUCAUAGAAAAUCAGUGAGUCUUCCUUUGAAGAUAGACAAGUCACUUGAUCAUUUUAAAGAGGCUGAGAUUGUGGAAAUAGUAGAAGGGAGUAGUAGAGAUGUUAAUCCCAGUCUUUUAUCAUAUAUGAUUAUGGAGAAAAUUAAAGAAAUUGAUGAACAAGUUACCUGUGACUAGAAGGAGGAAAUGCAUGAGGCAGCAUUGGGAGAUGGAAGUUUUCCCCUGAAAAAAGAGGAAAUGAAUAAUAUGACUACCAAUCUUAGCAAGGAGGUGAUGGAAACUCUUGAAACUAGCUUCAAGGACAAUAAAACUAGAAAUGCAAAAGGUACAAAAUUGAAUUCACUAGGUUCUACAUUGGACGAAUUGGAGAUUGAUUUAUCAUAUAAAGGAAAUGUAUAUCAUUCUUUGCCAUAAUCUUCAUUCGACAGAAGUGCUAGUGUGACAGCGGAAGACACAGACACAUAUAUAUCAUUUCAUGAAGUUUGGUUGGACUACAUUGAGGGCUGCUUCAUUAGUUAUCCCAGUCUCAUUCUCCCAGAUGAAUUCAUCUUUCUGCUUUUGUAGCUUUUGAAUUCAACCUAGGCUAUGAUCUCUACUAACACUAGUGGUGAAUGAAACAUGUUGUCAAAGGCAGCACCCGCAAAAGCAAUUAAACUGCAGUAUCGUAGCAUAUAGCUAGGUAGAUGAAUCUAUGCACACACACAUAAGAAAUAUUAAAUAGGAUUUAGUAAUUUAUUGUUAAGUAUCUAACAGAUUUGGAGCGCCUACUAACAUAAUCCAUAUUGUAGAAAGAGGUGUUAUAGGUAGCUUUACUUAGUAUGAAUUUAAUAAAAUUAUUCAAUGCUUCA